rnacentral:snRNA from 1 species
AGUUUUGCGCAGUGGCAGUAUCAUAGCCAAUGAGGUUUAUCUGAGGCACGAUUAUUGCUAAUUAAAAUAGAUAAAUCAGAGCUCAUCGAAAAUAAAAACUUUUGUGCUUCAAAGA